rnacentral:misc_RNA from 1 species
UCUCCGUAGGUGAACCUGCGGAGGGAUCAUUACUGAGUGAGGGCUCACGCCCGACCUCCAACCCUUUGUGAACACAUCUUUUUGCUUCGAGGGCGACCCUGCCGGCACGCGGUCGCCGGGCGCCCCCGAAGGUCUCCAAACACUGCAUCUUUGCGUCGGAGUUUAAAACAAAUUAAACAAAACUUUCAACAACAGAUCUCUUGGUUCUGGCAUCGAUGAAGAACGCAGC